UACAACCUGAACUCAGACGUGAU
rnacentral:rRNA from 1 species